UGCUGUUGAGAAAAAAGAGGUACAGGUGAGAGCGGAAGUGAAACAGAGGAAGGUAGUGGAGGCAUGACCUCAGACCACAUAUCCUCCAACAUUUUGCAGGUGCUUUCAGGUGCAGUUGAGCACCAUUAGCUAAUAAUAAGGAAGAACUCACAAGCUAGAAGAAGCUGCAGCUGUUUGCUUUUGCCUGAGCCUACUGGGAAGGGUGAGAUUUCUAUUCCUUCUUCCCUAUCAUCCCCUGCUGAGUUAAUCAAAUGCAAAAUACAUUUGUACUUUAAUUGCUGUUUACAGCACCUGAAGUCAGACAGAGACAGAAAGUUGGAGAAGAGAGAACAGGAAUGUCAUGGAAGUAUGGAAGAAGCAUAGCAGAAGGAAUACACAAUCAAAAUAUUCCUGGCAGAUGGCCAUCCAGGCUCUUUUUAAACAAUCUGCAGAGAAGGAGACUCCACCACACCGAGGCAUCUUCUACAUUUGAACUGCACUUACCAUCAGGAAGUUGUUCCUAAAAUUCAGAUGAAAUCUCUUUUCCUGAUGUUUGUCGAAGACUAGCCUAUAUUUUAGAAGCUGGAAUCAUAGAGCUGGAAGGAACCAUAAGAAAAGUCUAGCCCAACCAUGCAUGAAUACACAAAGCACUCCUGAAAGAUGUCCAUCCAUUUAGAAGCCUUCAGAGAAGAAGAUUCCACCACAUUUUCAGGACACUCUGAAAGCUGCCAGGAUCUGGGAGGCUACUGCCAGAUCCCUUUAAGGAAGAAAUGCCCCUAUGGAUCACUUCCGGCCAACUGUGGCAUCAAUGCCAAAUGCUGCAAAACUCAACCACCAACAACAAGGGACUGUGCUGCUCUGGGAGGAUACUGCCACGUGCCACUGAGUGAAGAAUGUCCCUCUGGUGAAGAUCUUCCAGCCAACUGUGGCAUCAAUGGAAGGUGCUGCAAAUCAUGAUCUGAGAUUCAGACCUUUGCUUGCGGAAAGAAGCCACCCUGAACAAUGCUUUGGAAAUAGCCAUGGAAUAAUCCAAUCAUCAGCUAAUUAAAUCCAGAUUAAAUGUGUAUAUUGUAACCCUUUUCUAAUGCACAAUACAAGUUAUACUGUGGUCUUGAUAGAAUGUUGUCUCUUC